rnacentral:rRNA from 1 species
GAUGAACGCUGGCGGCGUGCUUAACACAUGCAAGUCGAACGGGGUGCUCAUGACGGAGGAUUCGUCCAACGGAUUGAGUUACCUAGUGGCGGACGGGUGAGUAACGCGUGAGGAACCUGCCUUGGAGAGGGGAAUAACACUCCGAAAGGAGUGCUAAUACCGCAUGAAGCAGUUGGGUCGCAUGGCUCUGACUGCCAAAGAUUUAUCGCUCUGAGAUGGCCUCGCGUCUGAUUAGCUAGUAGGCGGGGUAACGGCCCACCUAGGCGACGAUCAGUAGCCGGACUGAGAGGUUGACCGGCCACAUUGGGACUGAGACACGGCCCAGACUCCUACGGGAGGCAGCAGUGGGGAAUAUUGGGCAAUGGGCGCAAGCCUGACCCAGCAACGCCGCGUGAAGGAAGAAGGCUUUCGGGUUGUAAACUUCUUUUGUCGGGGACGAAACAAAUGACGGUAC